UAGAAGCUGCACACAUAAGAGGAAACGCCGCUCUUUUGCUUCCUCUUCUUCUUCCUGCAGGCUGGAGCUGUAAUGGUCGUUUGGUGUGUUCCGAGUACUUGAUGCCGUCCUGAAGAAGAAAAUGACCUGCUUACUGAUGAGCGACGUUGGCUGAAAUUCAGAUGCGAUGACUCUGAAGUCAUAAUAAAGAUGAUCGCAAGAUAAUCUUGCUGAAAGGCAGACAAGAUGAUCCUGGAGUCUAACUUACAAAGGUGAUGAAUCUGCAGUCUGAGGUGUUGGAUGUCCAUUUUGACAGACAGGAUGGUGUCUGAUACUUGACUUGGGACCAUGUCGUACUCCUUACCACAGGAGUGACUGGAUGAAGUGCUGAUGGAUGCAGAAUUAAGGAGCUGUGCACCAGAGAGGGGCAGAUGAGCAAGCAGGAGUGACGAGACCACUGGAAUCUCACAAACCCACCUUCCUGGUUACGUAGACUCUACACUCAAUGUGUUAUUUAAUCAUCUAAUUAGCAACACGAGGGGAUCAGAGGGGAAAGUGAGCCUAUACUAUGCAUACUGUGCCUGUGUAACCCAUUUCUAACCAAUAAAAUGUCCUGAAAUUUAAAAAAA